AUUGAACGCUGGCGGCAGGCCUAACACAUGCAAGUCGAGCGAGCGGCGGACGGGUGAGUAAUGUCUGGGGAACUGCCCGAUAGAGGGGGAUAACUACUGGAAACGGUGGCUAAUACCGCAUACUAUCGGAUGAACCCAUAUGGGAUUAGCUAGUAGGUGGGGUAAAGGCUCACCAAGGCGACGAUCUCUAGCUGGUCUGAGAGGAUGACCAGCCACACUGGAACUGAGACACGGCCCAGACUCCUACGGGAGGCAGCAGUGGGGAAUAUUGCACAAUGGGGGCAAGCCUGACGCAGCCAUGCCGCGUGAAUGAAGAAGGCCUUCGGGUUGUAAAGUACUUUCAGUAGGGAGGCGUUACCUGCAGAAGAAGCACCGGCUAACUCCGUGCCAGCAGCCGCGGUAAUUC
rnacentral:rRNA from 1 species